rnacentral:rRNA from 1 species
CGACCGGCGCACGGGUGCGUAACGCGUAUGCAACCUACCUUCAACAGGGGGAUAACACUGAGAAAUUGGUACUAAUACCCCAUAAUAUCAUAGAAGGCAUCUUUUAUGGUUGAAAAUUCCGAUGGUUAGAGAUGGGCAUGCGUUGUAUUAGCUAGUUGGUGGGGUAACGGCUCACCAAGGCGACGAUACAUAGGGGGACUGAGAGGUUAACCCCCCACACUGGUACUGAGACACGGACCAG